GCUGAUCUUUUUUGCUGUUUACAGUUUAUCUUUAUCUAUAAUAAUAUUCAAGAUAAUGACCAAAAACUGCAAAAUUUCCUUAAAAUUACCAAUUAAGUGGCAGCAACCCAACAAUUGGAUGUUUGAUUCAUCUGAAAAUUUCAGGGCUGAUAGAUAUUGACCUAAUGAACAUUUUUACUCCUGUCAGAUUUGCUCUUAAUGCUUUCGUUUUUGAGAUAUAAGCCAAAAACUGCAUUUGACCCCUAUGUUCUAUUUUUAAGUAACGGCGGCCAUGUUUUUUGACGGAUCAAAAAUCAAAGCACACACUUUGUGCAGGAUAAUCUAAGGAACAACCAUGCUAAGUUUUAACCAAAUCCAUUCAGUAGUUUCAGAGGAGAAGAUUUUUUAAAGUUAGCAAAUAUGAUGAACAAAUUGUGAAAAAUUGUCAUUAAAGGACAAUAACCCCUUAAGGGGUCAAUUGACAAUUUUGG
rnacentral:lncRNA from 1 species